rnacentral:snRNA from 1 species
AUGCUCACUUCGGCAGCAUAUAUACUAAAAUUGCAAUGACACAGAGAAGAUUAGCAUGGCCCCUGCACAAGGAUGGCAUGCAAAUUUGUAAAGCAUUCCAUAUUUUA